UACGAAGGGGGCUAGCGUUGCUCGGAAUGACUGGGCGUAAAGGGCGCGUAGGCGGAUGACACAGUCAGAUGUGAAAAUUCCCGGGCUUAACCUGGGGGCUGCAUUUGUGACUGCAUCGCUGGAGUACGGUAGAGGGGGGAUGGAAAUUCCGCGUGUAGCAGUGAAAAUGCGUAGAUAUGCGGAGGAACACCGAUGGCGAAGGCAAAUCCCCCCUGGACCUGUACUGACG
rnacentral:rRNA from 1 species